GACGAACGCUGGCGGCGUGCUUAACACAUGCAAGUCGAACGGAAAGGCCCUGCUUUUGUGGGGUGCUCGAGUGGCGAACGGGUGAGUAACACGUGAGUAACCUGCCCUUGACUUUGGGAUAACUUCAGGAAACUGGGGCUAAUACCGGAUAGGAGCUCCUGCUGCAUGGGGGGGGUUGGAAAGUUUCGGCGGUUGGGGAUGGACUCGCGGCUUAUCAGCUUGUUGGGGGGGUAGGGGCUGACCAAGGCUUUGACGGGUAGCCGGCCUGGGAGGGUGACCGGCCACAUUGGGACUGCGAGAGGGACCAGAAUCCAACGGGAGGCAGCAGUGGGGAAUAUUGCACAAUGAGCGGAAGCCUGAUGCAGCAACGCCGCGUGCGGGAUGACGGCCUUCGGGUUGUAAACCGAUUUCGCCGGUGACGAAGAGUGAGUGACGGUACUGGGUAAAGAAGCACCGGCUAACUACGUG
rnacentral:rRNA from 1 species